rnacentral:ncRNA from 1 species
AGGAGCCGUAUGAGGUGAAAGUCUCAAGUACGGUUUUAAAUGGGAGGGGUAGACCGUGAGGUCUAUCUCGACCCCUAAU